rnacentral:tRNA from 1 species
GGCCUCCGUCGUAUAGUGGCAGUAUAGGGGGCUGUGGAUCAUAGCAGUGACCCCUUGGCCGGGGUUCGAUUCCCCGCGGAGGCCUCCA